rnacentral:rRNA from 1 species
GGAUGAACGCUGGCGGCGUGCCUAAUACAUGCAAGUCGAGGGAACAGACGAGGAGCUUGCUCCUCUGACGUUAGCGGCGGACGGGUGAGUAACACGUGGAUAACCUACCUAUAAGACUGGGAUAACUUCGGGAAACCGGAGCUAAUACCGGAUAAUAUAUUGAACCGCAUGGUUCAAUAGUGAAAGACGGUUUUGCUGUCACUUAUAGAUGGAUCCGCGCCGCAUUAGCUAGUUGGUAAGGUAACGGCUUACCAAGGCAACGAUGCGUAGCCGACCUGAGAGGGUGAUCGGCCACACUGGAACUGAGACACGGUCCAGACUCCUACGGGAGGCAGCAGUAGGGAAUCUUCCGCAAUGGGCGAAAGCCUGACGGAGCAACGCCGCGUGAGUGAUGAAGGUCUUCGGAUCGUAAAACUCUGUUAUUAGGGAAGAACAAAUGUGUAAGUAACUAUGCACGUCUUGACGGUACCUAAUCAGAAAGCCACGGCUAACUACGUG